rnacentral:lncRNA from 1 species
UACGAGUGACCAUAAUGUUGACAUGGUAUAAAAUAUCAAGUAAGUUGUCCAGUAGGUAGAGGUAGACGCAACUCGGGUUCGUUUAUCAGGGUGGCUAUUUACUGAGUUAGUCAAACUUCUUCUGGGUUGUUGGAGUUGUUGUUUUUGGGCAUGGACUCAGGCAAUGCGGUAGUGCCUGGCUGAGAUAAGGUCUUUGACCAACUAGGCAUAUUCUAGCACCUCAGCAUACGAGCUGAAUCUUAGCAUCAUAACCCGGUCAUAGAUAUCAACACGAAGGCUGUUUAAAAAUAUCAUAUCUUUAUGACUUCUAAGGGUGACCAUUAGAGGAGC